AGAUGAUUCACCUCAAACCUGACGAAGGCAUGACUGAUUCCGCAUCUUUCUUUCCUCGCUGAUAUGAUC
rnacentral:snoRNA from 1 species